GUGGGAAUUCUGAAAGGACUCUUCGGAUCAUCCUAAUUGGAAAAAGAACUCCAGCACGUGCGCAUUAAAUGCCAGGAUAUCUGAGGGCGAUCGUGCACAGGGUUCAAGGGGACAACUUCGGCUCUGAAAAUUUCUCUGUACUUCCUUCAUUCAAAACUCGAACUCGAAAGUAGGGGGACUGGUGUUGGGUAUAAAAUACCCCCCCAACCGAAGUUC
rnacentral:lncRNA from 1 species